rnacentral:rRNA from 1 species
GUAGGGAAUAUUGGUCAAUGGACGAAAGUCUGAACCAGCCAUUCCGCGUGCAGGAAGAAGAUUCUAUGGAUUGUAAACUGCUUUUAGCAGAGAAGAAACGCCUUCAUUGAUGAGGGUUUGACGGUAUCUGCGGAAUAAGCACCGGCUAACUCCGUGCCAGCAGCCGCGGUAAUACGGGGGGUGCAAGCGUUAUCCGGAAUCACUGGGUUUAAAGGGUGCGUAGGCGGGAAAUUAAGUCAGUGGUGAAAGUCUGUUGCUUAACGAUAGAAUUGCCGUUGAUACUGAUUUUCUUGAAUUGGGUUGAGGUUAGCGGAAUGUGACAUGUAGCGGUGAAAUGCAUAGAUAUGUCAUGGAACACCAAUUGCGAAGGCAGCUAGCUGGGCCUUGAUUGACGCUGAGGCACGAAAGCGUGGAUAGCGAACAGGAUUAGAAACCCUUGUAGUCC